rnacentral:rRNA from 1 species
UACGAAGGGGGCUAGCGUUGUUCGGAAUUACUGGGCGUAAAGGGCGCGUAGGCUGUGCUGUAAGUCAGGCGUGAAAGCCCCGGGCUCAACCAUCGCAGUGCCUUUGAUACUGAUGAGCUUGAAUACACUUGAGGUAGGCGGAAUGUGACAAGUAGCGGUGAAAUGCAUAGAUAUGUCACAGAACACCAAUUGCGAAGGCAGCUUACUAAGGUGCAAUUGACGCUGAGGCACGAAAGCGUGGGGAUCAAACAGG